rnacentral:rRNA from 1 species
UACAGAGGGGGCAAGCGUUGUUCGGAAUUACUGGGCGUAAAGCGCACGUAGGCGGAUUUGUUAGUCAGGGGUGAAAUCCCGGGGCUCAACCUCGGAACUGCCUUUGAUACUGCAAGUCUCGAGUCCGAUAGAGGUGGGUGGAAUUCCUAGUGUAGAGGUGAAAUGCGUAGAUAUCGGAAGGAACAUCAGUGGCGAAAGCGGCUUCCUGGACCAGUACCGACGUUCAGGCACGAAAGCGUGGGGAGCAAACAGG